UGGAAGGUGAGGGGGUGAAAGGAGAGCGGAAGUGUAGGGGUGUGAGGUGAAGAGUGAAGAGAAGCCGGAUUGUCUUCGUCCGUCCUCAGCCGGAAACACCUAAAAUGGAAAAGCUAAAACCCUCAGGUGGUGGAAAACGGGGUCCUGGUCCUGGGGGCUUGAGGCGGCUCUUUGCAGGCCAGCGAGCUGGGGAGACACGGAGCCCAUCAGAGCUCCCACCCGCUGCCCCGGCCAGUCAGCUGUGGCCAGCUGAGGUACGCUGUACUAGAGACCACAGGGCCGGACCCCCAGCCAUGAGGAUGCAGAGAGAAGGUGAGUGUAGUAGGCCCGGCUCUUCUCGAAACCUCCCAGCCCACCCGGGGACCCAUACAAAGCACAGAUGUGGAAACGAAGGCACGGGGAGGGUAGAUCCGUGUCCGCGGCUGCUGUAACACAUCACCGCAAACAUAGCACAACAGAAAUGUUUUCUCUCUGGAGUCUGCCCUUGGGGAGGCAGAGCCAUACUCCCUCCGGAGGCUGCGGUGGAGAAGCUGUUCCAUGUGCCUCUCCCAGCUUCUGGUGGCCGUCCUCGGUGGGUGGCCACAUCACUCCAGUCUUUAAGGCCGGCACCUUCAAAUCUCUCUGAGCUCUGCCUUCAUGGUACCUUCUCCCCUGGGGCACGUCAGGCUUCUCUGACAGGACAUCUGUGCUUAUGUUGAGGGCCGGCCAGAUACCCAGGAUAGACUCUGGAUUGUCAAAAUCUCUAAUUUAAUCACAUCAGCAAGGACUCUUUUUCAAAUAAAAUAACAUUUACAGUUUACA
rnacentral:lncRNA from 1 species